ensembl:snRNA U6 U6 spliceosomal RNA
ACUUUGGCAGCAUGUAGAUACUAAAAUUGGAAUGAUAGAGAUUAGCAUGGCCCCUGCACAAGGAUGACACGCAGAUUUGUGAAGUGUUCCAUAUUUUU